rnacentral:lncRNA from 15 species
AGUAGCUUUGUUUUAUGGGGUUGAGUUUAAUAGUUAAUACAUUUUCUGCUACUUCAGGUACACCUGACACAAUAACACAACUCAGUAAAACAUUAUCACUAAGUACAGCCUCAGUUAAUGUCUGUUUGAUGGUCUUUUAUUAAACUGUACAUCAAUAUAUUGUGUUAUAACCCUGUAGAUACAAUAAAUGUUAGAUAUUAAAAUACCUGUUUGUCUUCUUCAUCUUCAUGUUGGACAACUUGCAUGAACUACGUAUUUGUCUCAACGCUCUCUGAAGUGCAGAAGAUGAGUGACUGUGUGGAGGAAGAGAAGGACAGAGCAGAUAAUCCAAUGUCCAGCUGUCUGUCUAUGAAGAGUGACCGGUCUAAAGAUUUUGUUCCAGACUUCAGUAAUGAACCUGAACCCUCAGACACACAAAAGAAGAAGAGGAGUCAUGUUUCUGUGGAGGAGCAGCUGUCCUGCUGUGUUUUGUGUCAGGACGUCCUGAAGGAUCCAGUCUCUACCAGCUGUGGACACUGGUUCUGCAGACAGUGCAUCACCUCAUACUGGGACCAGUCUGCUUCAUCAGGAGACUCCUCCUGUCCCCAGUGUGGAGAAAGAUCCAGAACAAGAGCUGGACUGCAGACAGCCAGUCAGACCAGCACUGUACAAAGUAAGACUGUACAUCUGUCUGCUGAUGUCCUCAUGUCUGAAAACAGGACUUUAUAAUCUAUACA